rnacentral:rRNA from 1 species
GACAGAGGAUGCAAGCGUUAUCCGGAAUGAUUGGGCGUAAAGCGUCUGUAGGUGGCUUUUUAAGUCCGCCGUCAAAUCCCAGGGCUCAACCCUGGACAGGCGGUGGAAACUACCAAGCUGGAGUACGGUAGGGGCAGAGGGAAUUCCUGGUGGUAGCGGUGGAAAUGCGCAGAUAUCAGGAGGAACACCGAUGGCGAAGGCAGGUCUCUGGGCCACUACUGACGCUGAGAAGCGAAAGCAUGGGGAGCGAACAGG